CUUUCAAAUAUCGUUUUUACAGGACAAAGAUGUACUUCUAAAAACAUUGGAUGGUGUUCGAAGAUAUUAUGCACACCGCAAAGGCCUUCUGCAACUUGACUUUAUCAAGUAACCCCAAGGAAGUUUUAAAACGGAUUAAAGAGUCAACUAGAUGGUCUGACGAGCUGGAUGAUUAUGAGCUACAACUUGGCUAAAGGGUCAUAUGAAACUUUUAAAGAGAUAUAUGAGUGAAUUGGACACAACUUCCACAAGCAGCA